rnacentral:rRNA from 1 species
GACGAACGCUGGCGGCGUGCUUAACACAUGCAAGUCGAACGGAAAGGCCCUGCUUUUGUGGGGUGCUCGAGUGGCGAACGGGUGAGUAACACGUGAGUAACCUGCCCUUGACUUUGGGAUAACUUCAGGAAACUGGGGCUAAUACCGGAUAGGAGUUCCUGCUGCAUGGUGGGGGUUGGAAAGUUUCGGCGGUUGGGGAUGGACUCGCGGGUUAUCAGCUUGUUGGUGGGGUAGUGGCUUACCAAGGCUUUGACGGGUAGCCGGCCUGAGAGGGUGACCGGCCACAUUGGGACUGAGAUACGGCGCAGACUCGUACGGGAGGCAGCAGUGGGGAAUAUUGCACAAUGGGCGGAAGCCUGAUGCAGCAACGCCGCGUGCGGGAUGACGGCCUUCGGGUUGUAAACCGCUUUCGCCUGUGACGAAGCGUGAGUGACGGUAAUGGGUAAAGAAGCACCGGCUAACUACGUG